GAACACUCCAUCAGACAAACAUGAAGAUCUUUCAUGUUCUUGCUGCUGUCUCUGUUGUACUCACCUUCAUCUGCCUUCAGCAGAGCUCUUCUCUUCCAUUCACGAAGGAGGAAGAUUUGCGGGAGAUGAAGCCUGGUCAAGGUUCUGGAGAUGAGAACAGGUCCCUGAAAUCAUGGAAGGGCAAAAUGCGUCUUGGGCCAGGCAUGGGACCGGGCGGCGGCAAUUCCAGGAUCUCCCCAGAUCAUUAAAUAUGCUAAACACACACUGACGCUAAAAAGUAGCUGCAAUGACUUUCUUCUUCACCAUUGCCCAGCAUGUGUGAGAUUCUUAUAUCCAGUGCUCUGUAAUGUUGCGACUUGGCAAAAGUACAUUUUGCACAGACCGAUGUAAUUUUCCCCAAAAUAUGAUAAUAAAA